GUGGUGGUGGUGUAGUGGUGAGCAUAGCUGCUGUGAAAGCAGCUGACCCGGGUUCGAAUCCUGGCCAUCACA